UGGAUUUGGAUCGAAAUGGAUUCGAAUUAAAUCAUGUUCUACAAUCAGUUAAAGAGCUAAAUUAUAUUGAAGGACGAAUGAUUUCACUGCUAUUACCAUUUAUGAAAGUAUUUAAAUGUCUCCGAGGGGCAGGACAGCUGAAAAUUCAAGGUAAUGUUGUUAACAUACCGAUUGAUAUGACAUAAACAACAGUAUUUUAUCAUGAAGAGAGUAAAAUUUGACUGAUAUUAAAAAAAUGAAAUUAAAAAGAAAAUCCUGUUUCAAACCACAUUAUUUAUAUCUAAAUGUGUCAUCCAAUUUUAGUCGUCAGAGCUCUGAUGGACCUUAGAAACCAACCGUUAUACAGAGGUGCAGAAAAUUGAUAAAGAAUCGUAUAAUCAUUUGGUAAACCAUAUUCGAUCAAUUUCUAAAAACAUGGACUUAUUAAUCAAUGAAAAGUUUUAUGAAGGUGUCAGUAAAGAGCUUGACAAUCCUUUUUUUUUUCACAACCAGCAUUAUGGUGGGCCGCUCUGGAACUGCCAUUAGGCAUUACUUCAGACGCUUAGGUAAUCAUAUUUCCAAUAUCAAAGGUAUCGCAUAACUAUAACGUUUUUUGAUGUAUGCAUACCGUGAUGAUCAUGUUUGUAGUAUCCAAACCUGUUCUACCAACCUAAAUUUGUCUGAACAAGAUCUUCGACCUCUAUAAAAGAACGUUAUGCCAUUUUCAAGCUCAUUUACUUACUAUUCUUUCUAAAAUUAGAGUAAUAAAAGAAACAAUCAGACUACAUUAAAAAAAUAUUCUAAAUUAAGUGAUCUGGAGGAGCACAUACUAUACAAAGUCAUAUCUAUGAAAAAUACAAACGCACAAAAUGGGGCUGUCAUUGUUGGCUGCCUAUUCAACAAUAUGAAUAUGCUUAUCCCGAGAUUAAAACUAACUAAUGAAGAAAUUGAAGAUUAUAAUAUCAAUGUUGAUAAUAAAUUACAUUUAUUAUAUAGAAGCAAAAGUGGAAAUGCAUAUUUGUUUGAUUUUUAGUAAUUUGUUAAUAUUUUUCUUUGUUUUUUAAACUUAUUUAUGCUAAACAAAAAAAAAAGCUAUUAUUAUUC